rnacentral:rRNA from 1 species
CCUACGGGAGGCAGCAGUAGGGAAUAUUGCUCAAUGGGGGAAACCCUGAAGCAGCAACGCCGCGUGGAGGAUGAAGGUUUUCGGAUUGUAAACUCCUUUUGUUAGAGAAGAUAAUGACGGUAUCUAACGAAUAAGCACCGGCUAACUCCGUGCCAGCAGCCGCGGUAAUACGGAGGGUGCAAGCGUUACUCGGAAUCACUGGGCGUAAAGAGCGCGUAGGCGGGAUAGCAAGUCAGAUGUGAAAUCCUAUGGCUUAACCAUAGAACUGCAUUUGAAACUGGUAGUCUAGAGUAUGGGAGAGGUAGGUAGAAUUCUAGGUGUAGGGGUAAAAUGCGUAGAGAUCAAGAGGAAUACUCAUGGCGAAGGCGACCUGCUAGAACAUAACUGACGCUGAGGCGCGAAAGCGUGGGGAGCAAACAGGAUUAGAUACCCCAGUAGUC